CGUUCUGCAAGUUCCUGGGGCGGUCCAGCGAAAAUCAUUUUAAGCAAGUUUAUCAGUUUUCUUUACGUGCUAUUAUUCACAGUCUGCAAGCAAAUGGUUAAAUGAAUACGGCAUUUUCUCCGCUCCGUUUAAUGAGCCGACCAAGCCAGAACUUAAAGGAAUCUUCUGGAAGAUGUCUGGAGAACAUUAGGUGUUGGUUCGCUGUUCUCGUGUAAAAUUAACUUUUGGAGUGGAAGCGGUGCGGGCCGCGACCCUGGCUGGCCCCAUGUAAACGACAUCACUGGCAUCUGUUUUUGUUUUUGUUGUAGCUCGGGCUGAAUUUAAAAUGCCAUUUUGAAAUCAGAUCAGGUUUUUCCCUCCCCGGAACUGCAGCAUCUUUACCUAUGAGACGGUGCAGAUUGCAGCUUUCAGUGUUUCAUUUUGGCCACUCGGUGGUGCUAAAGUACCGUAAAAGUCCUGAAACGAUAAACGCAACGCCUGCAGCUAAGCACAUUUCUAGCAACACUUCCGAGAAGCAGUCAAGGUCAGUCAAUGACACAGUACUUUUUAUUACGUGAUGUAAAAAAACACGGACAUAUAAUACGGAUACACAACAUACUAAUAUCAAACAACGGUGAAAGGAAGUUAUUUUAUGCACUGUUAUUAAUCGCUAUAGCUUCUCAUGCUUGAGGAUUACACAUCUAACGUGGUGCACACUUUACUGUAGGUUUAUUAGACCAGCUGGCACCCAUGUGUGGAAGAUAAAAUGCGUACUUCGCUCCGCUGUUUUUAUUUUACUUAAAAUCAUAAAUUCAUAAAUGCCUAUGCAUUACA